UUCCCACGGGGGGCAGCAGUGGGGGAUAUUGCACAAUGGGGGAAACCCUGAUGCAGCGACGCCGCGUGAGUGAAGAAGUGUUUCGGCACGUAAAGCCCUAUCGGCAGGGAAGAAGAUGACGGUACCUGACCAAGAAGCCCCGGCUAACUACGUGCCAGCAGCCGCGGUAAUACGUAGGGGGCAAGCGUUAUCCGGAUUUACUGGGUGUAAAGGGGGCGCAGACGGCAAUGCAAGCCAGGAGUGAAAGCCCGGGGCCCAACCCCGGGACUGCUCUUGGAACUGCAUGGCUGGAGUACCGGAGGGGG
rnacentral:rRNA from 1 species